UACCAUGAUGAUGCUAGGUUUCCAAGUGCUGUUUUUCCUAGCUUCUGUACUGUUGCUUCUGUGCACUGCAGUUCUCACUCCUGGUAGAGAUUGAAGUUCUAGAAGAUUGACUUGAAAGGCUCUGAGCCUCCUCAAAAAUAGCAUUCAUAGAACAAAAUCUGUGCAGCUUUUCUACUCAACUUCCUUUCUUCUCCAUUAUGAAAGCUCUUCACAUGUAAAUGAUAUCCCCCACAAAGAACUACUGCCAGAAGGAAAUGUUUGUAGCAGUGGCAUUCCAUAUGGUAAGAAGGGUGAAGAAGUUACGAUGUUGAAUCAGUGUUGGAAAUUAUGUUGUUCACAUUGUAGUUAGAGGCAUUACUGAAAAUAAUUUUGUGAAAAUGUUGUUUAUAUAAUUGAACAGUGGAAGGAGUUAAUAUUUUUUUUAUCUCUGACUGUUUCCUGAUGAAAAACAGUGGUUUUUAAUGUAUUUUGAACUAGAGUGUGGGGGAUAGUUUCUAGGUAGCUUUGUCUGUCUCACACAUUGAGUGACAGCCAGAAAGGUGUCACACAUAGAUCUAAAUGGGGCUAUCUUUUUGUAAGACAAAGUAUGUUCUUAAAUAAUAAAUGAUCCUGACAAGUUGUUUAUUACCAGCAGUUAAUGAUCUGUUUAUUAGUUAAAGUCUGUGGCUGUUAACACUCUAACAAAUCAGUUCACUCUGUUAAACAUCAAUUUUGAGUACAUUAUUGGUAUUAACCAUACAACGAACUAGAACUGUUGCAGACAGUUGAUUUUAUUGCUGUGGUAGAAUUGUAUAACAGGAGGCAAAGGUGUUUGAUAGGAUACCAGUGUUCUUGAAAAGAAAAAUAGAUUAGGUUACAGUUGUUUGUACUGGUUAACAACUGGCAUUUAUUCAUAGUGAAUGUGUAUUCUGUUUUCCCAAAUGUCUCUCAAGUAGGUACAUUCUGAAGUCCUAGAUUCUCUAAUUUCCAUGUUUUUAAUACUGUAAGGAUUAUUUUUGCUUGUAUACAUUUACUUUGGGAAAAAAAUACACACAUAUAUAUAUAUGAUGGGCUUAGAAAUUAGUUUCUAGGAGGCGUGUGGAAGAACUUGCUUUAAAAAAUUGCUCAGAAGCUAAAUUUUACUAAAACCACUUGUUUGUCUGAGCAAUUGGCACCAGAUCAACUGAUUUUCCAGACUAGUUGCAGCUACUGGGAGGAAUAGGCAGAGACAGAGUUUGAAGACCAUGUUGGAUCUGCAUUAGGCUAUGCUUCACUUACAUCGUGUUAAAUUCCCACAAGCAUCUUCAACAAAAUAAAGUUCCAGUGGAAGACCUCGGAUAUUAGGUGAUCUUGAUGAGAAUACUUGGUCCUGAGUGGAAUGGUGCUCUACACAGUUCUGGCUCUGCCUACUCCCAAACCAUAAAAUACACAUAUUCCAAUUUUGCAUCUGAUCAGGAAACUAAGCUGUAAAAGUAAGUUCACUCCUAGGGCUCAAGUGGUGGUAAUAAGUCUGGCAAGGCUGGAUAAAUAGGUGUGAGAAUUACAUUCCAACCCACAAACUCAAGAGUUCAAAUCUGUUCUUUCAAUUUUGGCCCACUUCUCAUAAAAGGUAGCUCUGAUACUUUCAGCAUUUAGAAAUAAUCCUUUGAUACAUUAGCAGAAAGUAAUCCCCAAAAGCAUUUCUCUAAAUUGUAUCAAGAAUACUUUUUUUUCAGUCUGUCUGAAAACUAAAAUGUUCUUAUGUUUUCUUGAUAUUGAAUUAAUUACAUUGAUGCAAAUCACUACAUGGACGCCAAAUCCUUUUCCCCGGUUCUAGAAUGGCUUAUUCUGGUUUAAUUUGAAUGUUUCUUAAAACAGCUGAACUCAGCUAAAAUAAACAUAGUUAAAACAUCCAUCAGUAGUUCAUAAUGCUCGGCUAGUGCAAAGGCUAUCUCAAAAUCACAUUUUAAAUUAAAUCACACUGACUUGAUGUUGAUAAUCUGCAACUUGCCUGAGGUAGAGCAAAUUACUUGAAAAUGUUUUCUACCACCACAACUUCAACUGUAGUGUAAAAGGUCAGUACAGAACAAGAAUUCAGUAACAAGAGUGACACUUUGGACCCUGCACAGCAGGAUGUCUAGCAGAGUUUUCUGUAAUGGUAUUAAAGUGCUUGGCCCUUUUUAUGCUCAACAGGGCAGUAAAUAGGUUGGCAAACAAGGAAUAGGAGGACCUGUGGUUUACACCCAGUGUCAACAACAAGAUAAUUUGCCUAUGAGUUAGUACGGCUUUCCUAAGAGUUUUAAUUCCCCCAGAGGCCCUGUGGUUUCCAUCUAUUCCUGCAAUUAGCCCUUUAUCACACGGGAAGGUAUUUGCAAUGUAAUCUGAAUUAAAACUUAACCCAACACCUGUUAAAAUCCAAGGUGCUGAAGAUUUGCUGGCAUUCUCUUGCUGUCGGUGUGGUGUCAGUGUAACCUGUUCAGGGGCUCGAGCUUCCCCCAUGUACAGCUGAGUUCUCCCAUGCCACAGCAGAUUUCUCUGCCCCAGAGCAGUCCCAGAGUAUGAAGUGACAAAUGAAGUAUGAAGCAAAAUGUGGGGGUGAUCUCAGUUCUCACCCUUGCUAGACAGUGGCACAGACUUUCCCAGCUACCUCUGGGAGCACUGAAUCAUAUUUUAAUCUUGCAAAGCAUGUGGAGUUUAUAGACCAAUGAUAUGAAAAUGAUCUUAGCUGGAGUCAAAUCACUCGCUGUAGCCCUUGAGGAUUAUUGCCUGCAGCUGAAAGUUUCUCUGGUUGGCAUUCUGAAUUAUUUAAUUCACAGGGUGCAUUGCAGACACAGCAUGAUUACACAAAGUCCGCAUCAUCCAAGGAAGAAAUCUGUGGCCGCUUGAGCUGAUUGGUAGUGCUAUAAACUCAAAUGCACUGACAUUUGCUUCUUGCCUGAAUUGUAAUGAUCUCUUCUGUAUGUGUAUUUGUGUUUAUACAUUGUAGCCUUGUGUUGGAAGACAUGAAUAUUAAAUGUGUUUUUCUUCCCU